CCUACGGGUGGCAGCAGUGAGGAAUAUUGGUCAAUGGACGCAAGUCUGAACCAGCCAAGUCGCGUGAAGGAUGACUGCCCUAUGAGUUGUAAACUUCUUUUGUACGAGGGUAAAUCCCGACACGUGUGUCGUUUUGAAAGUACCUUACGAAUAAGGAUCGGCUAACUCCGUGCCAGCAGCCGCGGUAAUACGGAGGAUUCAAGCGUUAUCCGGAUUUAUUGGGUUUAAAGGGUGCGUAGGCGGUUUGAUAAGUUAGAGGUGAAAUUCCGGGGCUCAACCCCGGCAUUGCCUCUGAUACUGUCGGUCUUGAGUAUAGUAGAGGUAGGCGGAAUGUGUGGUGUAGCGGUGAAAUGCAUAGAGAUCAUGCAGAACACCGAUUGCGAAGGCAGCUUACCGGACUACAACUGACGUUGAGGCACGAAAGCGUGGGGAGCAAACAGGAUUAGAUACCCGAGUAGUC
rnacentral:rRNA from 1 species